rnacentral:rRNA from 1 species
GACCCCAGGUCAGGCGGGGACACCCGCUGAGUUUAAGCAUAUCAAUAAGCGGAGGAGAAGAAACUUACAAGGAUUCCCCUAGUAACGGCGAGCGAACCGGGAUCAGCCCCAGCUUGAGAAUCGGGUGGGCUGUGCCCUUCCGA